GGAUUAGAUACCCCUGUAGUCCUGGCCGUAAACGAUGAACACUAGGUGUCGGGGGAAUCGACCCCCUCGGUGUCGUAGCCAACGCGUUAAGUGUUCCGCCUGGGGAGUACGCACGCAAGUGUGAAACUCAAAGGAAUUGACGGGGGCCCGCACAAGCGGUGGAGUAUGUGGUUUAAUUCGAUGCAACGCGAAGAACCUUACCAGGGUUUGACAUCCUGCGAAUCCCUUGGAAACGAGGGAGUGCCUUCGGGAGCGCAGAGACAGGUGGUGCAUGGCUGUCGUCAGCUCGUGUCGUGAGAUGUUGGGUUAAGUCCCGCAACGAGCGCAACCCACGUCUUUAGUUGCCAGCAUUUAGUUGGGCACUCUAGAGUGACCGCCGGUGAUAAACCGGAGGAAGGUGUGGAUGACGUCAAGUCAUCAUGCCCCUUACAUCCUGGGCUACACACGUACUACAAUGCUACGGACAAAGGGCAGCAAACUCGCGAGAGCUAGCAAAUCCCAUAAACCGUGGCUCAGUUCAGAUCGUAGGCUGCAACUCGCCUACGUGAAGGCGGAAUCGCUAGUAAUCGCAGGUCAGCAUACUGCGGUGAAUACGUUCCCGGGCCUUGUACACACCGCCCGUCACACCAUGGAAGUUGGCCACGCCCGAAGUCGUUACUCCAACCCUUGUGGAGGAGGACGCCGAAGGUGGGGCUGAUGACUGGGGUGAAGUCGUAACAAGGUAGCCGUACCGGAAGGUGCGGCUGGAUCACCUCCUAACAGGGAGACAAAACUGAUUGUGAUGUCUGAACGCAUUUGUUUCAGGCCAUGAUCCUGUCAUCUCGAGGUCGAUCGGUACCUCAGGGGAGUCGUAAGACUCCUUGCAGUUCCUAAACUUCUGUCUAGGUCACCCCACAGAGGGUUUUCUUCCUGGGCCAUUAGCUCAGGUGGUUAGAGCGCACCCCUGAUAAGGGUGAGGUCCCUGGUUCAAGUCCAGGAUGGCCCAUUCGUGUUUGGGGGUUUAGCUCAGUUGGUAGUGCGCCUGCUUCGCAAGCAGGAUGUCAGCGGUUCGAGUCCGCUAACCUCCAUCCAACCGUUUUAAAAACCUUUGAGCAUGGCAGGAGAAAUCCAGCAGCGAGAGUGACCGAGACGGGCUUUGGAGGCCAGGAAAGAAUAGGCGCUGAGAAAGGAGUGAGUAUGGAGCGACAAGCUCUUGCGAACUCUGUUUGAAUCUAGCCUUCUCCGGCUGUAAUUCCUUAGGGAAGUGCAGCGGAGAAAGCUGGACUCGCAAGAGACCAGCGACGAACCUUGACAACUGCAUAGGUGAGUCUGGAAAUGAAAAGCAUCUCAUGGAUGCCAACACCAGAAUCAAGGGAGAAAGCUUCCUGCGAAGGACUUUUUCAUUUUGAGGAUUGUGUUGGAUCAAUUCUUGAGUAGAGAGCCGAGACCUUCCAGCGUCUUUGCCUGUCUGAAGUAAAGCUUUGGGUGGGAAGAGUUUGAUUCAGUGAUUUUAAGCCAGGCUAUGGUCUCGCCACGUCCGAAAGGGGGAGGCAAGUCAGCAGUCUGGGGAGGAAUGCUGGAGAAGGGGAUGCAACACCCCCAAACGCUGAGAAGGGAAAUUGGUCAAGCUACAAAGGGCUCACGGUGGAUACCUWGGCACACAGAGGCGADG
rnacentral:sRNA from 1 species